UACGGAGGGGGCAAGCGUUGUUCGGAAUUACUGGGCGUAAAGGGCUCGUAGGCGGCCGACUAAGUCGGAUGUGAAAUCCCCAGGCUCAACCUGGGAACUGCAUCCGAUACUGGAUGGCUUGAAUCCGGGAGAGGGAUGCAGAAUUCCAGGUGUAGCGGUGAAAUGCGUAGAUAUCUGGAGGAAUACCGGUGGCGAAGGCGGCAUCCUGGACCGGCAUUGACGCUGAGGAGCGAAAGCGUGGGGAGCGAACAGG
rnacentral:rRNA from 1 species